rnacentral:rRNA from 1 species
UGAGCCCGCGUCAGAUUAGGUAGUUGGUAGGGUAAUGGCCUACCAAGCCUGUGAUCUGUAGCUGAUUUGAGAGAAUGAUCAGCCACACUGGGAUUGAGAUACGGCCCAGACUCCUACGGGAGGCAGCAGUGGGGAAUUUUCCGCAAUGGGCGCAAGCCUGACGGAGCAACGCCGCGUGAGGGAUGAAGGCCUCUGGGCUGUAAACCUCUUUUAUCAAGGAAGAAGAUCUGACGGUACUUGAUGAAUAAGCCACGGCUAAUUCCGUGCCAGCAGCCGCGGUAAUACGGGAGUGGCAAGCGUUAUCCGGAAUUAUUGGGCGUAAAGCGUCCGCAGGCGGUCUUGUAAGUCUGUCGUUAAAGCGUGGAGCUUAACUCCAUUUAAGCGAUGGAAACUGUAAGACUAGAGUGUGGUAGGGGCAGAGGGAAUUCCCGGUGUAGCGGUGAAAUGCGUAGAUAUCGGGAAGAACACCAGUGGCGAAGGCGCUCUGCUGGGCCAUAACUGACGCUCAUGGACGAAAGCCAGGGGAGCGAAAGGGAUUAGAUACCCCUGUAGUCCUGGCCGUAAACGAUGAACACUAGGUGUCGGGGGAAUCGACCCCCUCGGUGUCGUAGCCAACGCGUUAAGUGUUCCGCCUGGGGAGUACGCACGCAAGUGUGAAACUCAAAGGAAUUGACGGGGGCCCGCACAAGCGGUGGAGUAUGUGGUUUAAUUCGAUGCAACGCGAAGAACCUUACCAGGGUUUGACAUCCUGCGAAUCUCU